CAGUCUAUCCGUACAGAGAAAUGCGAUUCAGGAAUGAGAGCCCGACGCAUGGGUGAACCUUGGGCACAUCACGCUGAGUGACAUGAACCUGACACAGAAGGACACGUACUAGGCUUGGUAAGCCCGGAAUCUGAUAGAGGAGCCCAGGUGGCUGGAGGCCCCGAGGAAAGCUGAUGCUGUGGCGGAGCCCGAGGACCAUCUGGAGGUGGAAUUCCUUCUUCCUCCUCAGGAGAGGUCCGUCUUUGUUCUCCUAAGAUCUUCAACUGAUUGGAUGAAGCCCACCACAUCAUGGAGGGUCUUCUGCGUUUCUCAAAGUUCACCAAUUUAAAGGAGCAGGCCGUGGGGCUCUCACAUUCAUCAGCUUCCUGGUUCCUGGAGGCUGGGUCUCACCCGACCUGGAGAGCUGCAAGAGCUCCAUGCUGUCACUGCAGGCCCAGGACUGAAAGAUCACAUUAAACUGUCCUUCCACCUAA
rnacentral:lncRNA from 10 species